GUCAGGGGUUGGUUGCUUAGGCCUUCAACACAUUAUCGAGCCCUCUUCAAGUUUGGGAAACAUUUCCUCCAGGAAGACUCGAUCUUCUUGAGACCGCUGAUGUAGGUCUGCUGGUAGCUGAUUGCUUGCCGGGUUUUGUAUUCUGUUGGCCAGGAAGGCAUGAAAUAGGUUAUCGAGCUUGGUCAGAAUAAGGGGCUGCGGGCCCAAUUGACACCUGGUAUCCGCCAUCUUGGGUAGAUCAACUCGUCCUAAUAUGCGUCCAAUAAAGCCACAGCGGGGCC